UACGUAGGGUGCAAGCGUUGUCCGGAAUCAUUGGGCGUAAAGCGCGCGUAGGUGGCUUUGUAAGUCCGUUGUGAAAGUCAAAGGCUUACCUUUGAAUGCCGAUGGAUACUGCGGAGCUAGAGUACGGAAGAGGCGAGUGGAAUUCCUGGUGUAGCGGUGAAAUGCGCAGAUAUCAGGAAGAACACCCGUGGCGAAGGCGGCUCUCUGGAACGCAACUGACGCUGAGACGCGAAAGCGUGGGAGCAAACAGG
rnacentral:rRNA from 1 species